rnacentral:misc_RNA from 1 species
UCCGGUUUGGCACCGGCAGUCUCCCACGAGUCCCCGGUAUAAUCCGCUGGCAACAUACGACGGGGGUUGCGCUCGUUGCGGGACUUAACCCAACAUCUCACGACACGAGCUGACGACAGCCAUGCAGCACCUCGACCGGACUCCCUUGCGGGAUAGCAGUGUUUCCACCGCCGUUAACCGGCCGUUCGAGCCCAGGUAAGGUUCUUCGCGUUGCGUCGAAUUGAACCACAUGCUCCACCGCUUGUGCGGGCCCCCGUCAAUUCCUUUGAGUUUCAGCCUUGCGGCCGUACUCCCCAGGCGGGGCACUUACUGCGUUAGCGACGGCACCGGGAGGGUCGCUCCCCCCGACGCCUAGUGCCCAUCGUUUACGGCGUGGACUAC